AUCCUUGUGCUAGGGUUUUAAGCGUGACGUUGAAGGGCAACCUGAGUCCGUUUUAUUGCUGAUUGAAAACUAUUUCAUGACCGCUCGCCGUAUCCUUCGGGAUAUGGUGGAAUCUUUGGAAAAACCUAUUUUGUU
rnacentral:snRNA from 1 species